rnacentral:rRNA from 1 species
UACAGAGGGUGCGAGCGUUAAUCGGAAUUACUGGGCGUAAAGCGCGCGUAGGCGGCUUUGCAAGUCGGGUGUGAAAUCCCCAGGCUUAACCUAGGAACUGCAUCCGAGACUGCAUUGCUAGAGUAUGGGAGAGGGAAGUGGAAUUUCAGGUGUAGCGGUGAAAUGCGUAGAUAUCUGAAGGAACAUCAGUGGCGAAAGCGACUUCCUGGACCAAUACUGACGCUCAUGUGCGAAAGCGUGGGGAGCAAACAGG